UACGAAGGGGGCUAGCGUUGUUCGGAAUUACUGGGCGUAAAGCGCGCGCAGGCGGUCUUCCAAGUCAGUGGUGAAAGCCCGGAGCUCAACUCCGGAACUGCCAUUGAAACUGUUGGACUUGAGUACGAGAGAGGUGAGUGGAAUUCCCAGUGUAGAGGUGAAAUUCGUAGAUAUUGGGAAGAACACCGGUGGCGAAGGCGGCUCACUGGCUCGUAACUGACGCUCAAGCGCGACAGCGUGGGGAUCAAACAGG
rnacentral:rRNA from 1 species